CGGGUGAUGUCGUCGGCGGCCCCUUCCGCGUGCUGGCUCUGGAGAACAGCCCUGGUGAUCAUCCCUUCAUUCCUGGAGGUCAACGCCUUGGCUGCCACCCGGUACGCGCCGCCCUGCUGGCGUCAGAGCAGUGACGAUGACGCACCGA
rnacentral:sRNA from 1 species